UCGUUCCUAGUCAGAUUCGUUAACCACUGAGCCAUGACGGGAACUCCUGUCUUCUCCUCUUGACAGAAUGUCUACCUAUGUCUGUUCCGUUCACUGGUCCAGCACCUAGAACAAUGGCAGGCACAUGGUAAAUACUCAACUAAUGUUUCUUGAAUGUUGAAUGAAUGGAUGAGUAAAUAAGUGAAUAAUAAAAAAAUCAGCUUGAUAACAACAACAACAACAGGAGAAAAAAAAGGUCACUUUUACUCUCAUUCAAAAGUUCCUACUCAGAGUUCCCUGGUGGCCUAGAGGUUAAGGAUCUGCUGUGGCUUGGUUUCCAGCCCUGGCCCAGGAACCUCUGCAUGCCACAGGCACAGCCAAAACAAAACAAAACCCCCCCAAACCAAAAAACCCCCAAAGGCCCCUACUCCCUGUCAUGCCCUGUACACCCUUGAUGGCUGUAGCACAUGCCCUCCCUCUGAGAGUGAAUGUGCUACAAAGUGAGGGAUGCCAGGGCUUCUUUAUAUGGGAGCUCAGAUAAAGGAAGCCUCUCAAAGGUCACUCUUAAACAGAGACCUCACGCAGUUCCUAUUGUGGUGCAGCAGAAAUGAAUCCAACUAGGAACCAUGAGGUUGCAGGUUCGAUCCCUGGCCUUGCUCAGUGGAUUAAGGAUCUGGCAUUUCCAUGAGCUGUGGUGUAGGUUGCAGAUGAGGCUCAGAUCCUGCAUGACUGUGGCUGUGGCUGUGGCGUAGGCCAGCAGCUAUAGCUACGAUCCUGGGGACCCCCAUAUGCCAUGGAUGUGGCCCCAAAAAGCAAAGAAAAACAAACAAACAAACCAUAAACAGAGACCUCAGUGGCAAGAGCUUAGCUAUUGAAGAUGGGGUCAAGGUGAGCACUGCAGAAAAGAGGGAACAGCUACAGCCAAGGUCUGAAGAGCAAAGCAAACUUGGGGGAUUGAAGCAUCUGAUCAUACAAGGCCAGAGACACCUAGAAUGUCUGACCAAAUAUUUGGACGCCCCACGGCCAAGUCAAGUGAUUACUGAGGGAAGAAGGUGUUCGGAAAGAGGAAGUGGCCAAUUAUUAAGAACAGGACUGAGAGUCAUACACAAUGGAAUACUACUCAGCCAUGAAGACAAUGAAUUCAUGCCAUUGCAGAAAUGUAGAUGA
rnacentral:lncRNA from 1 species